CCUACGGGGGGCAGCAGUGAGGAAUAUUGGUCAAUGGGCGCGAGCCUGAACCAGCCAAGUAGCGUGAAGGAUGACUGCCCUACGGGUUGUAAACUUCUUCUAUAAAGGAGUAAAGUGAGGCACGUGUGCAUUUUUGUAUGUAUUUUAUGAAUAAGGAUAGGCUAACCUCGUGCCAGCAGACGCGGUAAUACGGAGGAUCCGAGCGUUACCCGGAUUUAUUGGGUUUAAAGGGAGCGUAGAUGGGUUGUUAAGUCAGUUGGGAAAGUUUGCGGCUCAACCGGAAAAUUGCAAUUGAUACUGGCAGCCUUGAGUACAUGUGAGGUAGGCGGAAUUCGUGGUGUAGCGGUGAAAUGCUUAGAUAUCACGAAGAACUCCGAUUGCGAAGGCAGCCUACUAAACUGCCACUGACAUUGAUGCUCGAAAGUGUGGGUAUCAAACAGGAUUAGAUACCCCAGUAGUC
rnacentral:rRNA from 1 species